GUGCCAGCAGCCGCGGAAUUCCAGCUCCAAUAGCGUAUAUUAAAGUUGUUGUGGUUAAAAAGCUCGUAGUUGAACCUUGGGCCUGGCUGGCCGGUCCGCCUCACCGCGUGCACUGGUCCGGCCGGGCCUUUCCCUCUGUGGAACCCCAUACCCUUCACUGGGCGUGGCGGGGAAACAGGACAUUUACUUUGAAAAAAUUAGAGUGCUCCAGGCAGGCCUAUGCUCGAAUACAUUAGCAUGGAAUAAUAAAAUAGGACGCGCGGUUCUAUUUUGUUGGUUUAUAGGACCGCCGUAAUGAUUAAUAGGGACAGUCGGGGGCAUCAGUAUUCAACUGUCAGAGGUGAAAUUCUUGGAUCAGUUGAAGACUAACUACUGCGAAAGCAUUUGCCAAGGAUGUUUUCAUUAAUCAGGAACGAAAGUUAGGGGAUCGAAGACGAUCAGAUACCGUCGUAGUCUUAACCAUAAACUAUGCCGACUAGGGAUCGGGACGGUGUUAUUCAUGACCCGUUCGGCACCUUACGAGAAAUCAAAGUGCUUGGGCUCCAGGGGGAGUAUGGCGCAAGGCUGAAACUUAAGAAAUUGACGGAAGGGCACCACCAGGGUGGAGCCUGCGCUUAAUUUGACUCAACACGGGAAACUCACCAGGUCAAGACACUAUAGGGAUGACAGAUUGAGAGCUCUUUCUUGAUUUGGUGGGUGGGGGUGCAUGGCCGUUCUAAGUUGUGGGGUGACUGUCUGCAUAAUUGCGAUAACGAACGAAGACCUUAACCUAGCUAAAAAGCCCCGCAUGGCUCCCGGCAGUGGCGCUGGCUUUCUUAAGAAGGGAUAUUCGCCUCG
rnacentral:rRNA from 1 species